UGCCUGGACCCCCAGGCCGGCCAGGGAGAGAUGGGCUUCCCUUAACAGACGCAGAGCCAGGACCGCCAGGGUUCCCUGGAGAAAAAGGUCCAAAGGGAUAUAAAGGGGAGCGAGGAAUUCCUGGAGAGAUGGGCGAGCCGGGAUACGAAGGGGAACCCGGGCCACAGGGGCAGAAAGGCAGAAAAGGCAUAAUGG